rnacentral:rRNA from 1 species
GACGAACGCUGGCGGCGUGCUUAACACAUGCAAGUCGAACGGAAAGGCCCUGCUUUUGUGGGGUGCUCGAGUGGCGAACGGGUGAGUAACACGUGAGUAACCUGCCCUUGACUUUGGGAUAACUUCAGGAAACUGGGGCUAAUACCGGAUAGGAGCUCCUGCUGCAUGGUGGGGGUUGGAAAGUUUCGGCGGUUGGGGAUGGACUCGCGGCUUAUCAGCUUGUUGGUGGGGUAGUGGCUUACCAAGGCUUUGACGGGUAGCCGGCCUGAGAGGGUGACCGGCCACAUUGGGACUGGGAUACGGCCCAGACUCCUACGGGAGGCAGCAGUGGGGAAUAUUGCACAAUGGGCGGAAGCCGGAUGCAGCAACGCCGCGUGCGGGAUGACGGCCUUCGGGUGUAAACCGCUUUCGCCUGUGACGAAGCGUGAGUGACGGUAAUGGGUAAAGAAGCACCGGCUAACUACGUG